CUUCGUGGUGGCCGCCCAGGAGCAGGCAUUGCCCGUUCUUGCCGCGCAGGUGUUGCGCGACGAGGUGCCCGGGCUGGGUCCGCUGCCGGCCAUGGGGC
rnacentral:tRNA from 1 species